rnacentral:rRNA from 1 species
UACGUAGGGCGCAAGCGUUGUCCGGAAUUAUUGGGCGUAAAGAGCUCGUAGGCGGCUUGUCACGUCGGGUGUGAAAGCCCGGGGCUUAACCCCGGGUCUGCAUUCGAUACGGGCAGGCUAGAGUGUGGUAGGGGAGAUCGGAAUUCCUGGUGUAGCAGUGAAAUGCGCAGAUAUCAGGAGGAACACCGGUGGCGAAGGCGGAUCUCUGGGCCAUUACUGACGCUGAGGAGCGAAAGCGUGGGGAGCGAACAGG